UACGGGGGGGGCAAGCGUUGUUCGGAAUUACUGGGCGUAAAGGGCUCGUAGGCGGCCAACUAAGUCGGACGUGAAAUCCCCAGGCUCAACCUGGGAACUGCGUCCGAUACUGGAUGGCUUGAAUUCGGGAGAGGGAUGCAGAAUUCCAGGUGUAGCGGUGAAAUGCGUAGAUAUCUGGAGGAAUACCGGUGGCGAAGGCGGCAUCCUGGACCGACAUUGACGCUGAGGAGCGAAAGCUAAGGGAGCAAACGGG
rnacentral:rRNA from 1 species